UAUCGCCUACGGUACCUGCUUUCUCUUCGACACCAGUGCUGUGCAUCCAUUCGAGGUAGACAGGAAGCGACUCUCGAGGAGGAACUCGUACAGACUAUUCUACUGUUUCGACAUUGCAGGGCCGUCAGUUCGCAGCUGGUUUCACAAUUCAGCGGCUCAGUCGCUCGGCUUCCUCUGUUGUUGUGAGGUGACUUGAGAGUUCUGUGAAGAUGGCGUGUACAUUUCGUGGUGAAUCCACCGUCCUCCGUUUUUGCCUAACUACCUUUGACUCGUGCUCUGGAUGGCCUGGCUGAGUGACUGAGUGACUGCCUUGCUGUAGCCCCUACGCGAGUGACGGACUUUCUAGAUUCCGACGGCAAGCACGCUGCCAUUAUCAGCUACCUUACUUAGUACAAUUCAACAUGUCUCCAGCAUCAGUAACACGAGACCAUUCAGAAGAUAUUACAAG